ACCAGGUUGAGUUGAAUGCCGGGACCAUUGCAUUAUGGGUUGAACUAACAUGGAUGCAGAGAAACAUUAAUGUUUCCAUGGUGUCUGCUGACAAGAGAGAGAGACAGAGAGACAAAUAAACAGCAAAAAGACAUCUGUAUGAAACGUGGCUAUCAUUUCAUUAGACCAGUGCAGCUACACCGGAAGUAUUGCCAGGAGACCAGACAAGUCUCUCAACACAGGAAGCUCUGAGUCCCGUUUUGGGUCGCGGUGAAGAUGCAGUAGGUCCACAUCAACACAGAGACACAGGCGGCCUCUGUGAAGGCCAGCU